rnacentral:rRNA from 1 species
GACGAACGCUGGCGGCGUGCUUAACACAUGCCAGUCGAACGGAAAGGCCCUGCUUUUGUGGGGUGCUCGAGUGGCGAACGGAUGAGUAACACGUGAGUAACCUGCCCUUGACUUUGGGAUAACUUCAGGAAACUGGGGCUAAUACCGGAUAGGAGCUCCUGCUGCAUGGUGGGGGUUGGAAAGUUUCGGCGGUUGGGGAUGGACUCGCGGCUUAUCAGCUUGUUGGUGGGGUAGUGGCUUACCAAGGCUUUGACGGGUAGCCGGCCUGAGAGGGUGACCGGCCACAUUGGGACUGAGAUACGGCCCAGACUCCUACGGGAGGCAGCAGUGGGGAAUAUUGCACAAUGGGCGGAAGCCUGAUGCAGCAACGCCGCGUGCGGGAUGACGGCCUUCGGGUGGUAAACCGCUUUCGCCUGUGACGAAGCGUGAGUGACGGUAAUGGGUAAAGAAGCACCGGCUAACUACGU